rnacentral:rRNA from 1 species
CUACGUGCCAGCAGCCGCGGUAAUACGGAGGAUGCGAGCGUUAUCCGGAAUCAUUGGGUUUAAAGGGUCCGUAGGCGGGCUAAUAAGUCAGAGGUGAAAGCGCUCAGCUCAACUGAGCAACUGCCUUUGAAACUGUUAGUCUUGAAUGGUUGUGAAGUAGUUGGAAUGUGUAGUGUAGCGGUGAAAUGCUUAGAUAUUACACAGAACACCGAUAGCGAAGGCAUAUUACUAACAAUUAAUUGACGCUGAUGGACGAAAGCGUGGGGAGCGAACAGGAUUAGAUACCCUGGUAGUCCACGCUGUAAACGAUGGAUACUAGCUGUUUGGUUGUAAGACUGAGUGGCUAAGCGAAAGUGAUAAGUAUCCCACCUGGGGAGUACGCACGCAAGUGUGAAACUCAAAGGAAUUGACGGGGGCCCGCACAAGCAGUGGAGCAUGUGGUUUAAUUCGAUGAUACGCGAGGAACCUUACCAAGGUUUAAAUGGAGACUGACGUACUUAGAGAUAGGUA